rnacentral:lncRNA from 1 species
AUGAUUGUUGCUGUACAUACAUAUAUAUAUAUGUAUGUACAGCAUGACUUUUCCUUAGCAAAUUCAUCAAUAAAGAGAAUAAAACAACGUUGUAUUAUGAGCCUGUUAUGGUGGCAUAACUCUCUGGAGCUUGAAAAGUAUUCCAAACAUGCUGGGGUGCCUGACAUGUCUUCAGUGAGUUUAUUUUGUUGCGUGGGCAGUGAGUCUCUGGCUGGGAGAUACCUGAGAGAUGACAAUCAAAUUCCAUCUAGGGAAGAGGUGCACGAGCUACACACACAUGGCAAAACGGCUUCAUUUUCACCAGCUUACUGUUCACAAAGAAAAGCAAUCAACUGGUUAACCGAUAACCAAUUAUUCUGGGAUGAUUGCAUUCAAAUCUUCCAGUUGAUAACUAUGGAAGGGACUUUGACUGAUACCAAGGCCACAUUGCACAAAUCCUCCUGAACAUCACCCCACCCCCCUCUAAUGAGUCCUACAAUUACAGAAUUGGAAAGAUGUCGAUCUGCAGAAUUAAAUGCUAAAGGUCAAUUUAUUAUGCGAUAUUGACUGAAUUUGCUUUUUUCUAAUGAUAUGUCAUUUGCUAAAUGUUGCAUUCUCUAGUGUGGUGUAUCAGGAUGCCUUAGCAGGCAAAUGAAGUCUGAAAUAAGAUGAAGUCCCUGAAUUUGCCAUAUUGUGCAUUCUACAGUAUUCCUUUUAAUCACAGGAUCAAUUAGGAUUUCACCACACAAAUGGUUAUUCACUCAUUCGUUUAUUUAUUGUAUAAAAUAACAGGAGAUGAGUUCCAAAAUUUGGAUGUAACUUCAGAUUUUGAAAAUCUUAAAAAGUUUAGUAUAUUUUUUUUAAUAAAAAAGCAAUAAUAAUGAUUCAUUAGUAGAGAAGUAGACUUGUCAGAAGAAGAAUGCACAUUUGUAAUUGUAAUAAGCUUCACUGCACAACCACCUCAAGUGAAAACAACACAAACAGACAAAGCAAAACUCCUUCGGUGUUUAAGAACAUGCAUUCAGUCAAUACCAGGCACCUAACAGGUGCAGAAAAUAUAGUACUUCAAAUUUGUGUCUGAAUCCUUCCCACUUGCCAGAUGAUGUGUCACUAUCUAGAUGGAGUUGAAGUAAGCUUUGUCAGACAGCUGAUGACUCAUUUUAGGAGCACCACAACCAUGUAAUCACAUGGGUUUGUUUUUCAAAAGCAAAACUGAAAACUCUGUUGGCGUUAUGGAUGUGUUGACGCACACCAAUCGACUUGAGACAUGUGCACAUUUUCCCAGCAUGUUCAUUCAACUGAUUAUUUUAUACCAAUCUUUGUGUGCCAAUAAAAUCCAGCUAUUCUUAGACCCUCAGAUCUUACCACCAAGAAGCAUUAGGUAAAGGGUCUGCCAUUGGAGAUUAUAGAAAUGCAUAUUAUAAAUAAUUUAAAUGUCACCCAAGCGGAUUAAUGAGCACAUUUCCCUAAACCAUUAAAGAUUUUUCUCAAACCCAGUCUACGUUUUUGAAAAUACAAUUUCAUACAAAUUCAUGCACUGAAAGAGACCAAUACUUGCAUCAGAAUUCUGUUGUUUUUUUUUGCCAAAGGACUGCAGUUGAAGUCUAACAGUAAGUGCCAAAAGGGAGAAAAAAAAACUAUGCCAGUAUAAAAAAAUACUUCUGAACGUCUAUAAAACUGUCCUUGCAGUGCAUUUUUACACUGAAGUUGUCUCUGUGAAAUAUUAGGUCUAAAACAUUUCUGUUUCCAAGGGCCUCUGCUACGUCUUGCAAAGUUGCAGAUCACUAUACUCCAGAAGCAUCCACAUUUAUUGUCCCAUCUUGAGAGAUCCUUAUUUCUUCUUUUCUUUAAUUUAAGUGUUGCCAAAUGUCAAUAUGCUGUUUUUAAAACUGUGCCAAAUGAAUUUGAUGAACACAACUGGUAUCUGUGGAUUUUUUAAUUUUUUUCUGUACUAUCUAUAUGUAAAAUAUUCAUGUUUAAAUGUUUUUAUGUCAGUUUGCUGUAUUUAUUUUAUUGCUUUGAAGUGGGAAUGUUUAUAUGAGUGUACCACCAAAAGGUCAAAUGUGACAUACAUCUUUAUUCACAUCAAAUACAUGCUGUAUUUUAAAAGUAAAAUAAAACUGAAACUUAACUUGUUGGAGCCAGUCACAGAGACAAAAAACAAGCAUUCAAAAAGGAAUGGAAGUGAAAACAAAGAAACACUGAAGUCAGUGUUUCAAUUAAACCAUUUUCCAUAAUCACAUUGAUGAAGGCUUUGCACGCUUAAAAUCAUACGAUAAAUGGCUUUCAUUGUCCCUAAUAUAAAACAGGAAUUUUAAAAUUAAAAAAAAAUCCUCAAGGGAGUCUAUUUGCAGGAUUUUUAGGCCCAAAAAGCUUAGGAAUAAAAGUGACAUACCCUGAAAACCGCUUUAGUUAAAUUAGUUCAAUUGCUCAACAUGAAAAAUGAAUGAGGUUCAUAUAGAAUGUCCUUUAAAACAAUAAAAAAAGUUUGCUCUAAUGCACCCGAGCUAAAUGGGUUUAAGUUAAUAAAACUGAGUCAAAUGAAUUUAAAAAUGAAUUGUGUAUUUCUACUAUUGUCGGUGAACUUUUAUUAGAAAUAUAAAAAAAAGGUUAUUAUGCUGUAUAUACCUUUCCCCUAUUCCUGUCAAGUGUAUAGGGCCAGGAGUUCUGAUUAAUAGAAUUAAUUUACAAAUAGAAUGAGAAGCCCUCUAAACCUGAAUGUGUUUUUGAAAAUCGCUAUGUGUACAGUAACUUAAUAAACAAUGUUCCAUAUAUAAUUUUCAAUAAGCUCUUUUAGCUCCCUGUCUUACUUACGGUCAUUUCUGGGGCUGGAAAGACCUUGUCUGGUGAUACUCCUUUCUUAUCCUGGGCAGCUACAAAAAGUUUUAUUUUCAUUCCACCUGACUCCUUAAUGACUUUAUUGAAUCAUUUGUUGACUUCAUUCGUACAAAUUUCCACUGAUGACAAGUCUUUAGCUAAUGAGAAUGUCUGGCCCACUACAAAGUUUGCCAGGCUGUGGCUCCAGGAUCAAGAGUGAGUAUCGAUGAUAUAAGAUUUUAUUGCUGGAUAUUGCACAUGUCAUAGCUACUAUAUCCAUCUAAUCUGCAGUGAAUUGUAUUCUCUCUAAAUCUCAAAACUACCUAUUGCAUUUUCAAGCAGCUUAUCACAGAAGGUAUUUGUGAAGGAAAGGGAGAUCUGGUAUAAAUCAUAGGAUCUCUCUACCAGUCUUAAAUGUCUUAAACAAAAGGAGAUAUUUAUGAAAUUGCUUGUACUACUGGUGGCAAAGCAGAGAAAAUCUACCCAAGGAUACACCAUAAGUCAUAAACUGAAUAAAUAAACUUGAAACAACAAAAAUGAAUCAUGUAGAAUCACAGGGGAUUGUCAAAAAGUAAUUCUACUACAGCACAGAGCAGUCUCACAGCACGCACGAUGCAUCUGCACUGCCUAGACAGUGCAAACUCUGAUAUGC